AUGUUCCUGGCCUUCGACCCGGCCGUGUCUCUGCACUAUGAGGUGUUCCUAUUGAGAGGAGAGAUCCAACCGGACAAGGAAAAGGCAAUCUCUAUGUUAGUGCUCUCGUCACAGACUAUGCAAUGGGUGAGCCGGGAGUUUGAGCCGCGGCAUUGCGCCCCUGGGCACCUCUACGACGCUGUGACUGCCCCGCAUCCUAGUGAUAUGACAAGAUGGAACUCAGCUGAAUAUUGGCAUGGAUCACUCUAUGUACAUUGCUGGAACAACGUCCUUAUGAUCCUGCGCAACUCGGAGGAGGUGUAUGACAUGGUUCCGCUACCGGUGAAAGCUUACGAGGAUAAAGAGUUUGUAACUCGUACUACACCGCUAAGGAGGUCCGUCUUCGCGAGCUAUGAGAAAGGGGUUCACUAUGUGACAUUAAAAAAAAUACCAACUACAUAUAUGGAUAUUGAUCGAAUCAGUUGA
rnacentral:rRNA from 1 species